rnacentral:rRNA from 1 species
UACGUAGGUGGCGAGCGUUGUCCGGAAUUACUGGGUGUAAAGCGCGUGUAGGCGGGAGGCCAAGUCUGUGGUGAAAUCGCUCGGCUUAACUGGGCGGGGUCCAUGGAAACUGGUCACCUGGAGGUCGGUAGAGGCAAGUGGAAUUCCCGGUGUAGUGGUGAAAUGCGUAGAGAUCCGGAGGAACACCAGUGGCGAAGGCGACACGCUGGGCCGUACCUGACACUGAUGCGCGACAGCAUGGGGAGCAAACAGG